rnacentral:misc_RNA from 1 species
AGCUCGUGGUGCCAGUCAGUGAUGAGUGUAGUACACGUCAUACUCCUACUACAGUUGGGAUAGGUACCUUGACAAAUGGAUUGCUGUGGGUAUGUUGCUUAACCCAGCCUUAGUGCAACCUUAACUGAGAAAAACAUGUUUCUGUGCUGAGACAAUCUCAAGUUAUAUUGAAGGAAUAUAGUUUUUACCAUGGAAUUAUUUAGUAGUUAUUCCUUCAUUUUGCUGCCUCUGGCAUUUUCAAAUUUGGUAUGUUGCUUCUGGAGCAAAAUCAAUGGCAGGGAAUCCUGGUUUCGUAGUCUGCUGCUAUCCUCGCAGAUGUUAUGUACUUACAUGUCAAAUAAGUUUGCUACCCUACAAUCAAAACAAGUAAUUUCCUAGUUUCCAAAUUACUCUGAAAUCAUGUAUUGUGUGAAUGAAGCAAGUUAUGUGUUGUUUUUU